GAUGAACGCUGGCGGCGUGCCUAAUACAUGCAAGUCGAGCGGACAGACGAGGAGCUUGCGGCUUGGACGUUAGCGGCGGAGGGGUGAGUAACGCGUGGAAAACCUACCUAUAAGACGGGGAUAACUUGGGGAAAGGGGAGCUAAUACGGGAGAAGAUAUUGAACCGCAGGGGGCAAUAGUGAAAGUCGGUGUUGGGGGCAGGAAUAGAGGGAUCCGCGCCGCAUUAGCUAGUUGGUAAGGUAAAGGCUUACCAAGGGAACGAGGCGUAGCCGACCUGGGAGGGUGAUCGGCCACCCUGGACCUGAGCCACGGUCCAGACUCCUACGGGAGGCAGCAGUAGGGAAUCUUCCGCAAUGGGCGAAAGCCUGACGGAGCAACGCCGCGUGAGUGAUGAAGGUCUUCCGAUCGUAAAGCUCUGUUAUUAGGGAAGAACAAAUGUGUAAGUAACUAUGCACGUCUUGACGGUACCUAAUCAGAAAGCCACGGCUAACUACGUG
rnacentral:rRNA from 1 species